UACAGAGGUCCCAAGCGUUGUUCGGAUUCACUGGGCGUAAAGGGUGCGUAGGCGGUCGGGUAAGUCUGAUGUGAAAUCUCACAGCUUAACUGUGAAACUGCAUUGGAUACUAUUCGGCUUGAGAGUUGGAGGGGGGACUGGAAUUCUUGGUGUAGCAGUGAAAUGCGUAGAUAUCAAGAAGAACACCAGUGGCGAAGGCGAGUCCCUGGACAACUUCUGACGCUGAGGCACGAAAGCUAGGGGAGCAAACAGG
rnacentral:rRNA from 1 species